AGUAUUUAUAUCCUCAGGCACACAGUCAGUCAUGAAGACACAUAUGCUCACACACUGCUGUUAGACAUGAACUUUAUUAUUCUAUCAACCUUGCUGGCUGUCUACUCAACAGGUGGACAUGGUCAGACCCUGACUGAAUCUGAGCCUGUGGUCAUUAAUCCUGGAGGAUCUCACAGACUGACCUGCACAGCCUCUGGGUU